GAUGAAGAACGUAGCGAAAUGCGAUAAGUAAUGUGAAUUGCAGAAUUCAGUGAAUCAUCGAAUCUUUGAACGCACCUUGCGCCCUUUGGCCAUUCCGAAGGGCAUGCCUGUUUGAGUAUCAUGAACACCUCAACUCUUUAUGGUUUUCCAUGAUGAGCUUGGACUCUGGGGGUUUUGCUGGCUCACAGUCGGCUCCUCUAAAAUGAAUCAGCUUACCAGUGUUUGGUGGGUAUCAUGGGUGUGAUAAAUAUCUACGCUUGUGGUUUUUCCACCAGGUAACCUUCAGCAGUGGAGGUUCGCUGGAGCUCAUAGAUGUCUCUCCUCAGUGAGGACAGCCCUUUGAAUGUUUGAUCUCAAAUCAGGUAGGACUACCCGCUGAACUUAAGCAUAUCAAUAAGCGGAGGA
rnacentral:misc_RNA from 1 species